UAGUCUUGUAUUGGAAUGAUGGGAAUUUAAACCUCUUCCAGAGUAUCAAUUGGAGGGCAAGUCUGGUGCCAGCAGCCGCGGUAAUUCCAGCUCCAAUAGCGUAUAUUAAACUUGUUGCAGUUAAAAAGCUCGUAGUUGAAUUUCUGCUGUAUCGUUAUCUUCUGCUUGACAGUUUGAUUUCGUUAUGGCUUAGUUGGGUCACUUUGUGUCCCGGCGUUUACUUUGAGAAAAUUAGAGUGCUUCAAGCAGGCUUUUGCCUUGAAUACUUUAGCAUGGAAUAAUGGAGUAGGACUUUGGUUCUAUUUUGUUGGUUUUAGGAGCCAGAGUAAUGGUUAAUAGGAACAGUUGGGGGCAUUCGUAUUUGACUGUCAGAGGUGAAAUUCUUAGAAGA
rnacentral:rRNA from 1 species